CCGAGAUGUAAAUUUUAUAUAAUAAAAUGCGAAUUUUCUCUUUUUGACUUGAAGCCUUGUCUGUUACUUUCUUCAGGAAUGUCAUCACAAAUAGAUUUGUCUGGGAGCUUGAUGAGUAAGAAAAGCUAUCUGAAAGUAGGCAAGGUUCCAUUUGCAUUUCACUUGUCUCCAUGAAUGUGUGCAAAUUCUUCAACCUCUUCCUUCCCAAGAGGAAAUUCAGACUUUUUAAAGAUAAGCAUCUGAUUAUCUAUUUUCUUUAAAAAUAGCAUUUUAGAUAUUUCCUGUCCUUAAGAUGUUGCUGUUGAGCAGAUAACAACUUGAACCGUGCUAUGUUAGAACGGAUGCUGAAAACUAAAUGAGCAAGGUUAGUGCUGACAUCUACUGUUAGAACUUGAGGAUGUGCUACUUUGUCACAAGCAGUUCCCUCCUAAGGAGACGGGAGUUGUGUAGCACUAGUUGCGGGUGCAGGGGGUCAGAGUGACUGGAGGAGAGAAUCACCCAAAGCUCCAUCAUCCUGAAGAAGGGCGCAAGGGAAUGACUUCGCGCUUCUUGAGAUAAACAUGUUGAAGAAUCUGGAGCAGAAGAUAAAUUAAUGUCAAGAGUUUAAUUUUCAGACCCAGCCAGGGACCUAAUACGAUCAAGAAAAACAUUCUUCUCCCCUAUGCUCUCAUCUAGAAGAGAAGGAAAUGGAGGCUCAGAAUGCUGAUCUGAGUUGCCUGAGAUCCCACUGCUAGAAAUUGCAGCGAGAGACUGGAACGCUGGUCCCCUCUGGUUCCAAGUCCAGAUAGAAAUGAUUGAAGUUGUGGUAAACGUAAACAAGACAGAGCCAGCAGAUAAGCAGCGGCACCCCAACAGAAGUAAGGAGUGGAGUGACAUCUGGAGGAGACAGGAAGAAAGGAGUGUGAAAGAGUUGGGAGUUUAAAAAUACUGUUGUAGGUCCUUCUGGUUGUGCUACGUGGGACACUGCCUCAGCACGGCUUGAUGAGCAGUGCACAGGUCAGCGCCCAGGAUCUGAACUGGUGAACCCUGGGCCGCCAUAGCGGAUCAUGUGAACCUAACCACUCGGCCACAGGACUGGACCCAACCUUCACCUUUUCAAGUAGACCAAACUCCAACCUGUAUAUUCAGGACUGGAGCGAGAACCAGGAUGGAGAAAAAUUUUAAGGACUUUGUGUAAAGAAGGUCUUGCUUCCCUCCCGAGGCCAGCGAGAGAUGGUGAAGCAAGCAAGGAUGGAGCAACACCCCAAAGCUGUGACACGCAGGCCCCACCAGCGACUGGCCUUGGGCCCCUUCACCCCCGUCACUCCCUCCACCACCUUCCCAGGCUCUCCCAGCUCCCUGGGAUCCCAGGCUCUCCAUGCCCGGCCCAGUCUGCGACCAAUGCCUGGGCUAGGCCUGGCUGGUGUCUCCUUGCCCUCUAGGCCUUUGCCUCUUCCUCCAGGGAGUCCUCCCUAAUGCCCUUCCCAGACUGAGUCCGUCUGUGCUGCAUGUGUCAUGUCUGUGAAACGUAGAGGACAUAUGGCUCCUCCAGUAGGGGCACAGGAGUCUGGGAGGGAACCAGUGGGAGGCUGGCAAGAGGAAGCAAGGAGAAGCCAGCACAGAUGCCUGAGCAACUGACUGAAGCCUUGUCAUCUCUGACCUUGGAAGUCAGGCCCUCACUCGGUUACCUGAUCUCACGGCUCAAUUUGCAACCGGAAGCACAUCAUCGGCUCAAACGAACGUUGGUUGAAUGAACGAACUGGAGGAAAAGAACCGGGGAGGCAGAGGGGGUCUGAAAACCCCGGGUCGGGUCUGCAUCCUGCUGUGUAAAAUGAGCUCACACGCGCACUGCAGGAGAUUCCAACAGCCUGGCCUGGGGUUUCCUCUUCCAUCAGGGCUCAGCUGAGCCACCGCCUGCCCCAGGAAGCCUUCUCUCAACCCCACAGUUCGCUGGGGGUGGGGGCAGGGGCACCGUGCAUAAGCUCGUUGUUGGGGGAGUAAUGGACCAAGUCCAGAAAGUUCCAUUGCAAGAUGAUGAGAGUCAGGGAGGCAGGGUGGCCUCAUGGGCUUUGCCAUUUUCUUUUUCUUACCUUGUUAAAUUAAAAGCAAUUUUCAAAAAAGUGAAAAGAAAAUUCUCUCCCAAUAAAAGGAUCUACCAGCUGGAGUUAGGAUCCUUCCUAGGAGAGUAUCAGUAUUUUCUCUGUUCUAGGGGGAGCGCUGGAAUAUAUCCUGGGGCAGACUCUCCUUUUGUUCUGGAGGAAGCCACUUCUGUGAGCCGGUUUGGUUUGAGGUCUAUAAGAUUCUUCAUUGUUGUGGGGAGAAGUCCCAAGGAAAGCCCCAAACCAAUGAAGUGAUCCUACUGCAGAUGUUUCAGAGGGAGGUGUUGAGGGCUUUUCUUAGCGUUGUACCUUGACGUGUCUUCUUGACAGGACUAAGCCUCUGCAGGAUCAGAGCCACCAUGGAGCAGCAUGGAGACUGGGCCCUACCCAUGGCCAGGGGCAGAGAAAUCAGCCAGCUCUGCUCACCGGUCCGUGAGGUGCUAGUCUUCCCAGAGAAAGGGCAGCUUUUUCUAAUUUUCACGAUGUGCCAUAGAGACUAGAGUUUCUGAGAGACAGUAUACAACCCCUGAGAUCAUGCCAAGAAGGACCUAGGGAUCUGAUCUGAUCUCUACCAUUUACCAGAGGAAAGACUAUGAAGAGGAAGUAAACUGAGUUUGGUUUAGAAGCGCUGGCUCCUUGAUUUUGUUGCCCAGACGUGGUAUUAAGCCUGAAUAACCCAGCCUGCAGGAAAUGUGUUGUCAGCUGUUGAGAGUGUCUUGUCUGAGCAAUGGAGGAGGGAGAUGGAGUGGGCAGACGGCAUGCUACAUGGAGGGUGGGAGUGCUCCUAAGCCGAUGGGUGCUCCCACUGCGAAUCAGCCUGGGAUAGGAAAAGAAGCAGGUCCAGGAAGGCGAAAGGGCUCUCUGGAGCCAGAGAAGUUGAGCCUGGAUUUCGGGUAGGAGGACACCAGUAAAGAUCCUUGCAAGAUGGCAGCUGUCUGAGGAUCAAGGAGAAAGAAGACCAAUAGGGGAUGACCUAUAGGAGGGUGUGGAUUAGGCACCUAGGAAGAGUGAUAGCUGGAUAUUUUUUGACCACGUUACAGUGCAUUCAGCAAUCUCCAAGCCUUCAGUGAAGUUUAUUUAGCUAUGCUUUGGAGAAAUAAAGAGGAUGCCUGGACCUGCACAUAGGGUGCAGGUGUAAGGGCAAAGCUCAUGCAGCCUGGACAAACCGUUAUGUGAGAGGGGAGCGGCAGUUGGAGAACAAUGACUAGCUAGAGGGACGAAUGCAGGGGAACCAUCUUUGUGCGACAGAUGAGCAUUCUUUGAGGACUAUCAGAAACAUUUGGCGAGAGCAACCAGAAAACCAGGACUUCAUGCAGUUGUUCAGGUCAGGAGCUUGGAUGAAGUUAGUUGGUGUUAAAGGAAAGGGUGACUCUGGAAGGCUAGAGGUGGUGGGGACAUGUGAGAUCCCCAGGGGAGAACGAAUGGCUAGAAGGGAAGGGAAUGUGGCAUUGCUGACUCCAAAGUGCCACAACACAUUUUUCUUUUAGCUCUCAAAGUGAAAAGCUGACAGUUCCAUUCCUAUAAGGGGAAGGCAUUUUGCUAGAUGGAAUCUCAUUUUCAUUUCCUCUCUGUUGUCACUGAAACACUGAUUACUUAUAAACAUUUCUGCAAGAAGAAUUCAGAUUCAGAUUCUUUGUUUAAGAAUUACAUAAUUUUUAAAUUAAAUACAUUCUUCCAGUACUCAUUCAAAGACAGAAAAACAAAUCAGAUUUUAUGUGUUUGCCUCUAUCACUCUUUCGAUAUUAACUAGUUACCUGGCUGUUUUUCUGUCUCUCAGUCAUCUUAACUCAAAUGCCUGCAAAAAGCCAAUACUGCUUAGUGUUAAAAUAAAACAAAAAGCCCACUUCAGAAAAUUGCAUAUUAUUUUAUUUUAUAUAAAAAUGCAUAUUACUUCCAGAUGGUCAAGUCUAACCUAACCAGAAAAAGGCUUAUUAAAAUAAUGCAUAAAAUCUGAGGAAAACAAAUAAGACUUAAAAGCAAAAAGAACAGUUAUUAGAAUUACAGAUGCAUAAUUUUCCUGGAAUGCUAGUGAUCUGAAGUAAUCUAAGGAAAUGUUUACUUUGGUCUACUUGCAACUUAAUAUUACUCUAUGUUGAUUUGAAGUGUUGACACUGAACCAAUAAAAUAAACGUCUGUAAUGAAGUCAUAGAUGUAAAUUCCCACUGCAAUUGAACAACACGCAGAGAAUUCCACUCUAAAACACCACUGCCA
rnacentral:lncRNA from 1 species